rnacentral:rRNA from 1 species
AUUGAACGCUGGCGGCAGGCCUAACACAUGCAAGUCGAGCGGAUGAAGGGAGCUUGCUCCUGGAAUCAGCGGCGGACGGGUGAGUAAUGCCUAGGAAUCUGCCUGGUAGUGGGGGAUAACGUCCGGAAACGGGCGCUAAUACCGCAUACGUCCUGAGGGAGAAAGUGGGGGAUCUUCGGACCUCACGCUAUCAGCUGAGCCUAGGUCGGAUUAGCUAGUUGGUGGGGUAAAGGCCUACCAAGGCGACGAUCCGUAACUGGUCUGAGAGGAUGAUCAGUCACACUGGAACUGAGACAAGGUCCAGACUCCUACGGUAGGCAGCAGUUGGGAAUAUUGGACCAUGGGCGAAAGCCUGAUCCAGCCAUGCCGCGUGUGUGAAGAAGGUCUUCGGAUUGUAAAGCACUUUAAGUUGGGAGGAAGGGCAGUAAGUUAAUACCUUGCUGUUUUGACGUUACCAACAGAAUAAGCACCGGCUAACUUCGUG